rnacentral:rRNA from 1 species
GAUGAACGCUGGCGGCGUGCCUAAUACAUGCAAGUCGAGCGAACGGACGAGAAGCUUGCUUCUCUGAUGUUAGCGGCGGACGGGUGAGUAACACGUGGAUAACCUACCUAUAAGACUGGGAUAACUUCUGGAAACCGGAGCUAAUACCUGAUAAUAUUUUGAACCGCAUGGUUCAAAAGUUAAAGACGGUCUUGCUUUCACUUAUAGAUGGAUCCGCGCUGCAUUAGCUAGUUGGUAAGGUAACGGCUUACCAAGGCAACGAUGCAUAGCCGACCUGAGAGGGUGAUCGGCCACACUGGAACUGAGACACGGUCCAGACUCCUACGGGAGGCAGCAGUAGGGAAUCUUCCGAAAUGGGCGAAAGCCUGACGGAGCAACGCCGCGUGAGUGAUGAAGGUCUUCGGAUCGUAAAACUCUGUUAUUAGGGAAGAACAUAUGUGUAAGUAACUGUGCACAUCUUGACGGUACCUAAUCAGAAAGCCACGGCUAACUACGUG